rnacentral:rRNA from 1 species
CAGUCGCCACGGGAAUACGGAGGGGGCUAGCGUUGUUCGGAAUUACUGGGCGUAAAGCGUGCGUAGGCGGCUUUGUAAGUUAGAGGUGAAAGCCCAGGGCUCAACCCUGGAAUUGCCUUUAAGACUGCAUCGCUUGAACGUCGGAGAGGUGAGUGGAAUUCCGAGUGUAGAGGUGAAAUUCGUAGAUAUUCGGAAGAACACCAGUGGCGAAGGCGACUCACUGGACGACUGUUGACGCUGAGGCACGAAAGCGCGGGGAGCAAACAGGAUUAGAUACCCGCGUAGUCCCUGUCUCUUAUAC